rnacentral:ncRNA from 1 species
AACCGAUAAGACUAAACCGCCCGCGAGGGUGGGGCGGAAAGCCCAUUGGGUCUCACCGAGACAGCCGGGAUGCCGAA